rnacentral:rRNA from 1 species
UACGUAGGGGGCUAGCGUUAUCCGGAUUCACUGGGUUUAAAGGGUGCGUAGGCGGGUAAGUAAGUCCGUGGUGAAAUCUCUGAGCUUAACUCAGAAACUGCCGUGGAUACUAUUUGCCUUGAAUAUUGUGGAGGUGAGCGGAAUAUGUCAUGUAGCGGUGAAAUGCUUAGAUAUGACAUAGAACACCAAUUGCGAAGGCAGCUCACUACACAAUCAUUGACGCUGAGGCACGAAAGCGUGGGGAUCAAACAGG